GGGGAUGUGGCUCAGUGAGUGGUAGAGUACUUGCCUAACAUGCACAAGGCCCUAGGUUCAAUCUCUAGCACCACCA
rnacentral:tRNA from 1 species